UACGUAGGGGGCAAGCGUUGUCCGGAAUCAUUGGGCGUAAAGAGCGCGUAGGCGGUCCGGUAAGUCGGUUGUGAAAACUGGGGGCUCAACCCUCAGAGGCCGACCGAUACUGCCGGGCUAGAGUCCGGAAGAGGCGAGUGGAAUUCCUGGUGUAGCGGUGAAAUGCGCAGAUAUCAGGAGGAACACCAAUUGCGAAGGCAGCUCGCUGGGACGUUACUGACGCUGAGACGCGAAAGCGUGGGGAGCAAACGGG
rnacentral:rRNA from 1 species